AUACUAUUGUUUUUUUAUGUUAUGGUGUUACGUUCUGGUUAUAGUUUAUUUUACAGGUUGCAUACACUGGAGAUGAUUUUAUGAUUUGGAAUGCAUUAACUUAAUUAGAAUGUCAGGAGUGACUGACAUUCAGCCAAUGUGGCUCAAGACAUCCAGUAACGUGCUGAUUACAUCACCUUAUCUACUGGUGGCAAUGGUGCAGUAAGGGAAGUUUGCAAGUAUGUUAUGGACAUGUGCUGAACUCAACAGAAUCUGUGGCUAAUCAUUAGAGAAUCAAGAUGAGAAAGAAAUAAGUUGCAAUAGGACAGUGUAAGGGUCAGAUAGUAUUUUACACUUCUAAAUUACAACUGUUCUUUCAGCUCCGCACGGUGUUAUCCGACUUCUCUGAAACAGAAGUCUGAAGUUGGGGGAAAAAUCGUCAGGGCGUUAGCAUCAGUAGAUUAUUAUAUUAGUUUGCUUUCUUUUUAGAGCUUUUGAGGCGUUAGCUAGAUGCUCUCUGGCAUAGAAUUUAGUGUAUUCUAGAAAGUAAUGAGCAACUUAUACUUUUAUUUAAUUAAUCGCUGUAGAUAGAUAUGUGGACUUGCUUUUUAAUUAAGUCGUCUGACAGUGACUUUGUAGAUGCAUGUGUAUAUAUAUUUUGCCUUUAGUUUUUCAAAAGUAGCGUACAAUAUAGCUAUAAAUUAAUAAAUACAGCACACUAGCUAA